GGCAUCGGGUAGAGGGAAAAGGAGCAAUCCGCUUUGAGAUGGCCUCGCGUCCGAUUAGCUAGUUGGUGAGGUAAUGGCCCACCAAGGCGACGAUCGGUAGCCGGACUGAGAGGUUGAACGGCCACAUUGGGACUGAGACACGGCCCAGACUCCUACGGGAGGCAGCAGUGGGGAAUAUUGCACAAUGGGGGAAACCCUGAUGCAGCGACGCCGCGUGGAGGAAGAAGGUCUUCGGAUUGUAAACUCCUGUUGUUGAGGAAGAUAAUGACGGUACUCAACAAGGAAGUGACGGCUAACUACGUGCCAGCAGCCGCGGUAAAACGUAGGUCACAAGCGUUGUCCGGAAUUACUGGGUGUAAAGGGAGCGCAGGCGGGAAGACAAGUUGGAAGUGAAAUCCAUGGGCUCAACCCAUGAACUGCUUUCAAAACUGUUUUUCCUGAGUAGUGCAGAGGUAGGCGGAAUUCCCGGUGUAGCGGUGGAAUGCGUAGAUAUCGGGAGGAACACCAGUGGCGAAGGCGGCCUACUGGGCACCAACUGACGCUGAGGCUCGAAAGUGUGGGUAGCAAACAGGAUUAGAUACCCUGGUAGUCCACACUGUAAACGAUGAUUACUAGGUGUUGGAGUUGACCCCUUCAGUGCCGCAGUUAACACAAUAAGUAAUCCACCUGGGGAGUACGACCGCAAGGUUGAAACUCAAAGGAAUUGACGGGGGCCCGCACAAGCAGUGGAGUAUGUGGUUUAAUUCGACGCAACGCGAAGAACCUUACCAAGUCUUGACAUCCUGCGACGCACAUAGAAAUAUGUGUUUCCUUCGGGACGCAGAGACAGGUGGUGCAUGGUUGUCGUCAGCUCGUGUCGUGAGAUGUUGGGUUAAGUCCCGCAACGAGCGCAACCCUUAUGGUCAGUUACUACGCAAGAGGACUCUGGCCAGACUGCCGUUGACAAAACGGAGGAAGGUGGGGAUGACGUCAAAUCAUCAUGCCCUUUAUGACUUGGGCUACACACGUACUACAAUGGCGUUAAACAAAGAGAAGCAAGACCGCGAGGUGGAGCAAAACUCAGAAACAACGUCCCAGUUCGGACUGCAGGCUGCAACUCGCUUGCACGAAGUCGGAAUUGCUAGUAAUCGCAGAUCAGCAUGCUGCGGUGAAUACGUUCCCGGGCCUUGUACACACCGCCCGUCACACCAUGAGAGCCGGGGGGACCCGAAGUCGGUAGUCUAACCGCAAGGAGGACGCCGCCGAAGGUAAAACUGGUGAUUGGGGUGAAGUCGUAACAAGGUA
rnacentral:rRNA from 1 species